AUGAUCUGGGAGCAGCUUGUAUACUCUGAGGACCCAAUUGAUAUUUUGAAUAUCAAGUUGAAGCGCAUCAAAAAAUAUUUUAAAGGCUGGGGUUCGCAUGCUUUUGGGCAUGCGAGGAAAAGGAAAAGGUGGAUCAAGCAGGAGUUGGAAGAGAUUGAAAAAGAAGAGGAAAAUGGCCCCCUUGACCCUGAGACAUAUGAGAAAAGAACUUUUUUAUGUGCGGAGUUGAAAGAGAUCCUUGCAGACGAAGAGUUUUUUUGGUUACAGCCUUCUAAUGAAAGAUGGUUGCUGAAGGGAGAUCAAAACACAGCCUACUUUCAUCGUGUUGCUAAUGGCAGAAGAGGAAAAAAUACUAUUCACUCUCUUACCAAUGGGGAGACUUUUAUAGAGGGUACAAAAAACCUACUAAACCAUGCCACAGCCUUCUACAAGGAACUCUUUGGCCUUGCGAAGGGAAACUUGUUCCACUUGUCCAUUGACAGAUGGUCUAGCGAUGAGAAACUC
rnacentral:rRNA from 1 species